GGGCGAAAGCCUGAUCCAGCCAUUCCGCGUGAGUGAAGAAGGCCUUCGGGUUGUAAAGCUCUUUCGCAAGGGAAGAACACUUACUUUCUAAUAAAGAGUGAGGUUGACGGUACCUUGAUAAGAAGCACCGGCUAACUACGUGCCAGCAGCCGCGGUAAUACGUAGGGUGCGAGCGUUAAUNGGAAUUANUGGGCGUAAAGCGUGNGCAGGNGGUUUUGUAAGUCAGAUGUGAAAUCCCCGAGCUCAACUUGGGAACUGCGUUUGAAACUACAAGACUAGAAUAUGUCAGAGGGGGGUAGAAUUCCACGUGUAGCAGUGAAAUGCGUAGAGAUGUGGAGGAAUACCAAUGGNGAAGGCAGCCCCCUGGGAUAAUAUUGACGCUCAUGCACGAAAGCGUGGGGAGCAAACAGGAUUAGAUACCCUGGUAGUCCNCGCCCUAAACGAUGUNUACUAGUUGUUGGUGGAGUAAAAUCCAUGAGUAACG
rnacentral:rRNA from 1 species